AUGGAUACACCCAAAGGCAAAACAGCAAAAAAGAAAAAGCUAACUGAAUGUAAAAAACAAAGUGCGGUGAUUGAUGAAAUGAUGGAACAAACCACCAGACCAAAACGACCUCAAAGAGCAGUGCUACCAAAAAAUUACAAAGAUCCUUCCAGUUCAGAGUCAGACAGUGAAAGGGAAAAUUCAGCAUGUACCUAUAAGAAGGAGAAAUCAAAAGUACAGAAAUGUGUGAAUGAGAAAAACAAAGAUGGUAAUCAGCAGAAGGAUCUCCAGAAUUUGGUGGAGCCGAAGGCAGUAGCAAACUGUGUAAAUAAAGCAUUAAUUAAAUCAAAGAACGCUACGGAACAAAAGGAAACUGAAAUGUCUUCACCUGAGAGUCCUGCAUCUCUAGAGACAAUGAGAUGUAUGCGUUUUGAUUUUAAUUUAUAGAAAUACCAUAGCAAAUGUUGGCAGUUAAAAUGAAGAUUAACACAGUACUACAAUUCUACAUUUAUUUCAUGAGUUCAAGAUGAGAUCUCCUGAAGCAAUGUGUAUACUAGUUAGUGUAAGAAAAUGUGUUAAUGUCAUUGACUCUUUUAUAGAUUUUUACAGUUGUUUGACAUCAGCAUUUUAUAGUUCUGCAAUACAUAAGUGAAAGCAGGCUGUUAGAAUUAAUCUGCUAAACUGCUAAAACAACAUAGAGGAUGCAAAAAGUACAGUAUGGCAAGAAUUAUACUAAUAAGUAGAGUAAAAUCUCACCCACCUGAGACUGGUAAACACCUUGAUUAAGGACAGUUAGCAGUAUGGGGCUUUAGCAUGGUUUUUUUUUUCAUUCAUUCAUGCUGAAAGUUAAGCAAUUGUCCUCUAGGUGCUGAGAGAAUAUCAGAGGGAUGUGUUACUCAAGACCGUACUUCUAGUGAGGGGUCACCUGGUCUUCUGAAGUCAACACCAGAAAAAAAGGAAACAUUAAACACUGAGAAAGGAAUCUCUCCCAAUAAUCUCUGUCUACAAAAGAAGAAUAAUCAAAUUAUCUAUCUAAACCAGUCUCCUGAAAUGACUGUUAAAAAGUUAACAUUUGGAAAUAAAAGUUUCUCACCAGUUCUAACUGCUUCGUAU
rnacentral:lncRNA from 1 species